UUAUCAAGUAAGAAUGUGAGAUGCCGGUUAAAUUUGGCUUCCAGGAAAAGCUACGUAUUUACUUAGUGUGUGUCCCGAGUUCUGAAUGGGACAUUCUUACACACUGACAGCGAACGCAUGCUCCUGUUUAUCGGAGUUCUCACCCGGCUGGGCGGCCUGGCUUUACCUGGUGCAGGCCUGUCCGGGCAGGGAGCUGUUCGCGAGCAGGAGUGGAGGGCAGCGGCGGGUGGGAAGGUGUGAGCAGCAGGAGCCGGCUGCCUGGGAGAAGAUGCAGAAGCUGAGGCUCAGAAAAAUGCAAAAGCCAAGAUGCAAACACUGACCCCGCCAGCAUCAGCUGCAGGUUCCGACUUCUCUGUGAUUCUGUCCUGAGUUCCAAACCACAGGCUCCCUGGCCUCUGGGGGGGCUUCGUGCUGAGUCAGCCUGUACCGGCCCCAUUACGGGUUAUUUAUCGGCCCUGCCAACUUCUGUGCAUCUCUGGGAGCAAGUCUGCUGACAAGUAGGCCAGAGUCUGGUGGAACACACUAUGUGUGGGUAGGAGGUUAGGAAUGGCUUGAUCAAGCCUCCAGGGGCAGCCUCCCCACCCUCCUUUCACACCUCCUCUGACCCUCCCAUUGGUGUCCUGAUAGGACACUCCUCAGUCUUUAUUUUUAAGACAGGGUCUUGUUACAGCGUGACCCUCCUGCCUCAGUGUCCUCGGGCGUGCACCUCCACACCAGCGUUUAGUUCGGGCUGGGAAUGGUGCCACGUGGCCUCAGCAUCCACUAAUGCGUGCUACCAUGGCUGGACCACAACGUCCACCUUUUAAUUUUCAGUACCACUCAGGCGCGCGGAUAUUGUGGUGCAUACGACCAGGACACGGAGUUCUGCUGUAUUUUAACCAGCCGUCUCCCACUUCCUGGAUUUAUGACUUUAGCGAAGUGACUUCACUCUCUGAGCCUUGGUUUCUGAUCUGUAAAGCUGGGCUGGCACCAAUCCUGGGGCUGUGAAGAGGUGGCACUGUUUGCCCAGGGCGUGGAGGGCAUGAGUCCCACUACCUGGAAGCUGCCUGACUGUUCUCAGCCCUGGCCCUGCCAGGGACACGGUAGGCUGCUGCUGUGACCGUCCCUGCAUGAAUGAGAACAGAGGCCUUUCCCACUGGACCACCCCUCAGCCCCUCGGGACAGGCUACGGAAUCGGGGGCAGCUCAAGUGAAACCUCGGGGGCCUUGUUCAAAGUUACUGAGACUUUCAAGGCAGCCCUUGAGCAGCAGAGAGACAGUCAACCCACACCCUUCCUGCCAGAGUCCUCCUAGCCCUGGCUGGCCAGAACCCCAGGCUGGGAGUGGCAGGGGACCCUCAGACAUGACCUAGGCCCCUCUCGUGUGGCAUGGCCCCGUGGGACCCUGUGUUACCACCCGCCACCGGGCUGGCUGGCUGCUCCAGUGCUUUGACCGCGGCUCCGUCUCUGCUUCCCGUUCUGCAUGACCCUCACGGGUCACGUCGCUGCCCUGCGUGCGGGUGGUGAGUGGCAUCCAGCUCUCUGGUUUGCAGGGACCAGGGCUGGCCAGCUCUGCUCACUGAUGGAGGUGGAGAAACUGAGGCUGAAGAGGUGAAACGACUGUGCCAGUGGGUGGUGGCCAGCUGCCCUCGAUCUCCAGGUCGCUCGUCGAUCCUCCGUCUCUGAACCUGGCGGGUCACCCCAUUUCGCAGCUGUGCAAAGUAGGGCUUGUCGCUUUGUAAGACCUGCUUCCCCUCGACCUGAAUCUGACAGCUCCUGAAGUUCUCCUAGCUAUGGCCUUCCUCCUCCAGAGAAGGCUCCACCUGGAAGUCCCGAGGGUGGCAGGACGGGGAGGAGAAACUGAGAGGAGGUGACAGGUCCUUCGCAUUUUAUUCGCUGUGGGCCAUUCGACUGUCUCCUUGUAUAAGCUGGUUGCAGUCCCGUUUUCUGGCCGUGCACUGUGGCGUGCACAGAGCCACCUCCCUGGGUUUGGAGCGUCCGCUAAGUGUUAAUUAAUGUUCACGUCUGCCUAUAAAGUCCUGUUUGAGAGAGCCUGGGUGUUCGUCAAAUAAAUGGCAAUA